rnacentral:rRNA from 1 species
UACUUAGGUAGCGAGCGUUAUCCGGAAUGACUGGGCGUAAAGGGAGCGUAGGUGGUUAAUUAAGUCUUUUGUGAAAGCCCUCGGCUCAACUGGGGGACUGCAGGAGAUACUGGAUAACUAGAGUGUGAGAGAGGCAAGUGGAAUUCCUAGUGUAGCGGUAGAAUGCGUAGAGAUUAGGAGGAACACCAGAGGCGAAGGCGGCUUGCUGGCUCAUAACUGACACUGAGGCUCGAAAGCGUGGGGAGCAAAC